rnacentral:misc_RNA from 1 species
GAUGAAGAACGUAGCGAAAUGCGAUAAGUAGUGUGAAUUGCAGAAUUCAGUGAAUCAUCGAAUCUUUGAACGCACAUUGCGCCCCUUGGUAUUCCAUGGGGCAUGCCUGUUCGAGCGUCAUUUGUACCUUCAAGCUUUGCUUGGUGUUGGGUGUUUGUCUCGCCUUUGCGUGUAGACUCGCCUUAAAAUAAUUGGCAGCCGGCGUAUUGAUUUCGGAGCGCAGUACAUCUCGCGCUUUGCACUCAUAACGACAGCGUCCAAAAGUACAUUUUACACUCUUGACCUCGGAUCAGGUAGGGAUACCCGCUGAACUUAAGCGUAUCAAUAAGCGGAGGA